rnacentral:rRNA from 1 species
CCUACGGGAGGCAGCAGUGAGGAAUAUUGGUCAAUGGGCGGAAGCCUGAACCAGCCAAGUCGCGUGAGGGAAUAAGGCCCUACGGGUCGUAAACCUCUUUUGCCGGGGAGCCAGGGCCGGGACGAGUCCCGGUCCGGAGAGUACCCGGAGAAAAAGCAUCGGCUAACUCCGUGCCAGCAGCCGCGGUAAUACGGAGGAUGCGAGCGUUAUCCGGAUUUCUUGGGUUUAAAGGGUGCGUAGGCGGGCUUCUAAGUCAGCGGUAAAAAUUCGGGGCUCAACCCCGUCCGGCCGUUGAGACUGGGUGCCUGGAGUGGGCGAGAAGAAGGCGGAAUGCGUGGUGUAGCGGUGAAAUGCAUAGAUAUCACGCAGAACCACGAUUGCGAAGGCAGCCUUCCGGCGCCCUACUGACGCUGAGGCACGAAAGUGCGGGGAUCGAACAGGAUUAGAUACCCCGGUAGUC